rnacentral:tRNA from 1 species
GGGCCCGUCGUCUAGCCUGGUUAGGACGUCGCUCUGACACGGCGAAGGUCGGGAGUUCAAAUCUCCCCGGGCCCACCA